rnacentral:lncRNA from 7 species
ACGGGAGGCCGUCCGUCUCUCUUUCGGGGCAGCUGAGCACGCUGAGGAGAGAGGGCACGUGCUUACCCUGCAUUUUGGUGGAAUCACAAAUACUGGGAAAAAAGGUUGGGAGCCUUCCAACUGUUCAUCAUAAUCAACACAUUCAUGUUGAUCAGAAGGCCACACCUACCCGGACAAAAUUCACAGUCUUGCUGUGAAUCACACCAUGGAGUAAACUCUUCAAAGAGAACGAAGACAGAAUUUCUUUCAUGGAUCAAGGAGGAAAGUGCUAUGACAGUGGAACAACAUUACCAUCAUCCUCACUUAUAAUAGUAUGAUAAGCCCCCCUUACAGAAAGUUUCCACUUGACAUUACUGAAUGGCUCUCUGGCACCCCAUGCUAUCCAUGACCUAGCAUUAUUAAAGACAGUCACUCUUCAUCUGUCUAAAUACCCACAAAGCAUAGGAAUCCUUCACACUUUCUAAAAAUGAGGAUUCAUCUCUUCUGUCUUAUUUUAAUUGUUUGUAUUUCAAUGCUCCAAAACAGAAUAGGAAAACAAAACACCUCGUAUCUUGUACUUACAUGUCUUCAUGUCUUUUAACAUUUGCUUGUUAUUAAUUCUGCCUAACAUAUCAUCAUCAUAGGACUGACUUUUCAGUUGCCAAACAUUAAAUAUCAGUGAAAUUUUAUCCUCAGGCUAUUUUUACCUGCCUUUCCAGGUAAAAUGGUUCAGAAUGUUCAGAAGGUUCAGUUAAAUGGCAAAUCUAGGAGAAGUGCUCUUUUUAAGCUUUAAUGCCAUUUACUUAAUAGACUCUAGUGACCUUAAACUUUGAAGCAAAGACUUGCUGAUGGAUGGCUGAGUCAAAUCAUAAAACAAAAUACAGAUUGCAUUUUUUCUUUCUGACAAGUAAUUCAAUGAAGUCAGAAAGAAAACACGUUAGCAAUCAUGUCACCACAGUACAUCAUUGUUAACAAAUUGGCUUAUUAAUAUAUUUUUUAAAAUUAUCAUUGCAUUAUUUUAUAAUAUUUAAUAAUCUGUUAUUAUUAAUAAUAUUAGUAGUAGUAGUAGUAUUAAAUAAUCUCAGUUCCCUAUGUACUUCCAUUUCUCUUCCAUGGCUGGAAACUCAGAGGCUAAAAAACAGCUUUUCCUUGUAGACAGAAACUGUUACUCUGAAGUUUGUGAAAUGAAUAAUGAAUAUU